AAGACCUUGCGCUUUUGGAGCGGCCGAUGCCUGAUUAGCUUGUUGGUAAGGUAAAGGCUUACCAAGGCUUCGAUCAGUAGCUGGUCUGAGAGGACGGCCAGCCACACUGGGACUGAGACACGGCCCAGACUCCUACGGGAGGCAGCAGUGGGGAACUUUGGACAAUGGGGGAAACCCUGAUCCAGCCAUGCCGCGUGAGUGAAGAAGGCCUUCGGGUUGUAAAGCUCUUUCAGCCGGAACGAAACGGUUACGGAUAAUACCCGUGACUACUGACGGUACCGGAAGAAGAAGCACCGGCUAACUACGUGCCAGCAGCCGCGGUAAUACGUAGGGUGCGAGCGUUAAUCGGAAUUACUGGGCGUAAAGCGUGCGCAGGUGGUUUUGUAAGUCAGAUGUGAAAGCCCCGGGCUCGACCUGGGAACU
rnacentral:rRNA from 1 species